rnacentral:rRNA from 1 species
UACAGAGGUCUCAAGCGUUGUUCGGAUUCAUUGGGCGUAAAGGGUGCGUAGGUGGCGCCGUAAGUCAGGUGUGAAAUCCCGGGGCUCAACCCCGGAACUGCACUUGAUACUGCGGUGCUCGAGUACUGGAGAGGAGAUUGGAAUUUACGGUGUAGCAGUGAAAUGCGUAGAUAUCGUAAGGAAGACCAGUGGCGAAGGCGAAUCUCUGGACAGUUACUGACACUGAGGCACGAAGGCCAGGGGAGCAAACGGG